GAUGAACGCUGGCGGCGUGCCUAAUACAUGCAAGUCGAGCGAACAGACGAGGAGCUUGCUCCUCUGACGUUAGCGGCGCACGGGUGAGUAACACGUGGAUAACCUACCUAUAAGACUGGUAUAACUUCGGGAAACCGGCGCUAAUAGCGGAUAAUAUCUUGAACCGCAUGGUUCAUUAGUGAAAGACGGUUUUGCUGUCACUUAUCGAUGGAUCCGCGCCGCAUUAGCUAGUUGGUGAGGUAACGGCGUACCAAGGCGAGUAUGCGUAUCCGACCUGAGGGGGGGGUCGCCCACAUGAGAAGUGGAACGGCGUCAAGGCGCCUACGAGAGGGAGCAGUAGGGAAUCGGCCGCAGUGGGGGGAAGCCUGACGGAACGGCGGGGAGUGAGUGGUGGAGAUGUUCGGAGCGGAAUACUCUGUUAUUAGGGAAGAACAAAUGUGUAAGGAACUAUGGACGUCUUGACGGUAACUAGUCAGAAAGCCACGGCUAACUACGUG
rnacentral:rRNA from 1 species